rnacentral:rRNA from 1 species
UACGUAGGGUCCGAGCGUUGUCCGGAAUCAUUGGGCGUAAAGCGCGUGUAGGCGGCUUGGUAGGUUUGGUGUUAAAUCCCUCGGCUCAACUGAGGAACUGCCUUUGAAACUGGACGGCUUGAGGCCGGGAGAGGGUAGCGGAAUUCCCAGUGUAGCGGUGAAAUGCGUAGAUACUGGGAGGAACACCGGUGGCGAAGGCGGCUACCUGGACCGGUUCUGACGCUGAGGCGCGAAAGCGUGGGUAGCAAACAGG